rnacentral:rRNA from 8 species
AACGGAUAUCUUGGCUCUCGCAUCGAUGAAGAACGUUGCGAAAUGUGAUGCUUGGUGUGAAUUGCAGGACCCCGCGAACCAUCGAGUCUUCGA